rnacentral:rRNA from 1 species
CCGUGACAGCUAGGAUGUUGGCUUGGAAGCAGCCAUUCAUUCAAAGAGUGCGUAACAGCUCACUAGUCGAGGGACUGUGCAUGGAUAAUAAUCGGGUAUAAAGUCUAUUGCCGAAGCCGUGGGAUAUCUUAAGAUAUCGGUAGGGGAGCAUUCAUGCGGCCUUGAAGAUAGAGGAUAACCUCUGUUGGAGCUUCAUGAAAAGCAAAUGUAGGUAUAAGUAACGAUAAAGAGUGUGAGAUGCACUCUCGCCGAAAGACUAAGGUUUCCAGGGCAACGUUAAUCGGCCCUGGGUCAGUCGGGACCUAAGGUUCAACCUAAUGGUGAUGCCGAUGGCAGAAACGGUUAAUAUUCCGUUACUAUCUUUGUUGGCGAUGUGGAGACGGAGGAGUGACACUUCCGCGAGCUGACGGAAUAGCUCGUUAAAGAUUGUAGGUUAUGAGGAUGGCAGGCAAAUCCACCAUCCGAGCUGAAAGUCGAUAGUAUACAGCGUCUUCGGACAAUGUAAUAGUGAAGGUAAUCCUACUCCCGAGAAAAUCCGCUAAGCUUAACAGCAAAGAUACCCGUACCGUAAACGGACACACGUAGUCGGGUAGAAUAUACUAAGGCGCUUGGAAGAUUCAUGGUUAAGGAACUAGGCAAAUUGACCCCGUAACUUCGGAAUAAGGGGUCCUCACAGUAAUGUGAGGCGCAGAGAAUCGGCCCAGGCAACUGUUUAACAAAAACACAGGGCUGUGCAAAAUCGAAAGAUGCAGUAUACAGUCUGACACCUGCCCGGUGCUGGAAGGUUAAGAGGAGAGCUUAGACGCAAGUCGAAGGUUUGAAUUGAAGCCCCAGUAAACGGCGGCCGUAACUAUAACGGUCCUAAGGUAGCGAAAUUCCUUGUCGGGUAAGUUCCGACCUGCACGAAUCCGGACACUGUCUCAACCAUGAUUCCGGUGAAAUUGUAGUAUCGGUGAAGAUGCCGAUUACCCGCGAUGGGACGAAAAGACCCCGUGAACCUUUACUGCAACUUAACGUUGUGACCGGGCAUCGGAUGUGUAGGAUAGGCCGGAGGCUGUGAAUAGGUUACGCCAGUAAUCUAGGAGCCAUUGUUGAAAUACGGCCCUUUCGAUGUUUGGUCCCUAACUCGCAAAUGUGAGGACCGCGUUUGGCGGGCAGUUUGACUGGGGUGGUCGCCUCCAAAAGCGUAACGGAGGCUUCCCAAGGUACCCUCAGGCCGAUUGGUAACCGGCCGUUGAAUGCAAUGGCAUAAGGGUGCUUGACUGCGAGGCCGACAAGCCGAUCAGGUAGGAAACUAGGGCAUAGUGAUCCGGUGGUUCCGUAUGGAAGGGCCAUCGCUCAAAGGAUAAAAGGUACUCCGGGGAUAACAGGCUGAUCCCUCCCAAGAGCUCAUAUCGA